rnacentral:rRNA from 1 species
GUGGGGAAUCUUGCGCAAUGGGCGAAAGCCUGACGCAGCGACGCCGCGUGUGCGAUGAAGGUCUUCGGAUCGUAAAGCACUGUCGCCCGGGAAAAAAGCCCGCAAGGGAUUGAUGGUACCGGGAAAGGAAGCACCGGCUAACUCUGUGCCAGCAGCCGCGGUAAUACAGAGGGUGCGAGCGUUGUUCGGAAUUAUUGGGCGUAAAGCGCAUGUAGGCGGGAUGUUAAGUCGCGUGUGAAAGCCCCAGGCUCAACCUGGGAAGUGCGCGCGAAACUGGCAACCUUGAGUGCUGGAGAGGGUGGCGGAAUUCCCGGUGUAGAGGUGAAAUUCGUAGAUAUCGGGAGGAACACCAGAGGCGAAGGCGGCCACCUGGACAGACACUGACGCUGAGACGCGAAAGCGUGGGGAGCAAACAGGAUUAGAAACCCUAGUAGUCC